rnacentral:rRNA from 1 species
CUACGGGCCGCUGCAGUGAGGAAUAUUGCACAAUGGGGGGAACCCUGAUGCAGCAACGCCGCGUGGAGGAUGACGCAUUUCGGUGCGUAAACUCCUUUUAUAUGUCAAGAAAAUGACGGUAGCAUAUGAAUAAGCACCGGCUAACUCCGUGCCAGCAGCCGCGGUAAUACGGAGGGUGCAAGCGUUACUCGGAAUCACUGGGCGUAAAGGACGCGUAGGCGGGGUGGAAAGUCAGGUGUGAAAUCCUACAGCUUAACUGUAGAACUGCACUUGAAACUUCUAAUCUAGAGUAUGGGAGGGGGAGAUGGAAUUAGUGGUGUAGGGGUAACAUCCGUAGAUAUCACUAGGAAUACCUAAAGCGAAGGCGAUCUCCUGGAACAUUACUGACGCUAAGGCGUGAAAGCGUGGGGAGCAAACAGGAUUAGAUACCCGCGUAGUC